rnacentral:siRNA from 1 species
AAAUGUAUUUAGGUGCGUUUUGCU